GGGUUGUGAGGUUAAGCGACUAAGCGUACACGGUGGAUGCCCUGGCAGUCAGAGGCGAUGAAGGACGUGCUAAUCUGCGAUAAGCGUCGGUAAGGUGAUAUGAACCGUUAUAACCGGCGAUUUCCGAAUGGGGAAACCCAGUGUGAUUCGUCACACUAUCGUUAACUGAAUACAUAGGUUAACGAAGCGAACCGGGGGAACUGAAACAUCUAAGUACCCCGAGGAAAAGAAAUCAACCGAGAUUCCCCCAGUAGCGGCGAGCGAACGGGGAGGAGCCCAGAGCCUGAAUCAGCAUGUGUGUUAGUGGAAGCGUCUGGAAAGGCGCGCGAUACAGGGUGACAGCCCCGUACACAAAAGCGCAUGUGCUGUGAGCUCGAUGAGUAGGGCGGGACACGUGGUAUCCUGUCUGAAUAUGGGGGGACCAUCCUCCAAGGCUAAAUACUCCUGACUGACCGAUAGUGAACCAGUACCGUGAGGGAAAGGCGAAAAGAACCCCGGCGAGGGGAGUGAAAAAGAACCUGAAACCGUGUACGUACAAGCAGUGGGAGCACAGGUUUACCUGUGUGACUGCGUACCUUUUGUAUAAUGGGUCAGCGACUUAUAUUCUGUAGCAAGGUUAACCGUAUAGGGGAGCCGCAGGGAAACCGAGUCUUAAC
rnacentral:rRNA from 1 species